GCAAGUCGAGCGAGAAAGCACUUCGGUGCGAGUAGAGCGGCGGACGGGUGAGUAACGCGUAGGAAUCUACCGAGUAGUGGGGGACAACAUGGUGAAAACCAUGCUAAUACCUCAUACGCCCUACGGGGGAAAGGGGGCUGUUUACAGCUCUUGCUAUUUGAUGAGCCUGCGUAAGAUUAGCUUGUUGGUGAGGUAAAGGCUCACCAAGGCGACGAUCUUGAGCGGGUCUGAGAGGAUGAUC
rnacentral:rRNA from 1 species